rnacentral:rRNA from 1 species
GUCGAACGCUGGCGGCGUGCUUAACACAUGCAAGUCGAACGGAAAGGCCCUGCUUUUGUGGGGUGCUCGAGUGGCGAACGGGUGAGUAACACGUGAGUAACCUGCCCUUGACUUUGGGAUAACUUCAGGAAACUGGGGCUAAUACCGGAUAGGAGCUCCUGCUGCAUGUUGGGGGUUGGAAAGUUUCGGCGGUUGGGGAUGGACUCGCGGCUUAUCAGCUUGUUGGUGGGGUAGUGGCUUACCAAGGCUUUGACGGGUAGCCGGCCUGAGAGGGUGACCGGCCACAUUGGGACUGAGAUACGGCCCAGACUCCUACGGGAGGCAGCAGUGGGGAAUAUUGCACAAUGGGCGGAAGCCUGAUGCAGCAACGCCGCGUGCGGGAUGACGGCCUUCGGGUUGUAAACCGCUUUCGCCUGUGACGAAGCGUGAGUGACGGUAAUGGGUAAAGAAGCACCGGCUAACUACGUG